UUUUGAUGAGAUUUUUUUUAAUAAUUAAUGUUUAUAAUAUUAUUUUCUGGAACAUUUAUAAAAAAUCAAUAAUUCUUGUGUUACAAAGACCACGAAAUAACAUACUGGUUCAAAAGCAUAUUUCGCUCUUGUUUUUAUUAUACAGUUAUGAUAAAAAGUGGAUGACUUAGUGGAUGGAUUCACUGAGAAAAGACAAAUCAAACUUAUUCAUCAAAUACUCACCACACAAAAGUAUAAUACAUCCAUUACAAUACAAAAUUUAUUUUCAAACAUAUAAGUAUACUGACCUAAUCAAUGGUCAUUCUGGCCAUUUAGUCGCUGGCCGUGAGCAACGUUUGUAAAAAUUAUAUCUCAAUACUUGUCUUCAUUAAGACAUGGAUUGAACACAAGAACGAACGAUACCACGGGGAAAUUUUUUAUUUUUUGCUCUUUCUAUGAAAAGAAAAAGUUGAUUUGAUAACGCCAUUAUUGCAUGCUGAUACAAGUAAAGAAAUAGAAAAUAAUAAAAAUGUGUGCUGCAUUUGUCAUAAUCUAUUUAACGAGAAAGUUGUUAAAGUAAAAUGUUGCUCAAGUAUUUAUUGCAAUGAAUGUUAUGAUAAUAUUAUGAAUAUAUACAAUAUUAAUAAAAAAUGCUCCAAAUGCGAUAAAAAUGUAGAUGGUAUGUUUUGUUACAUUCAAAUUUUUGUUAAUAUAAAAAAAAGUUUCUUUUAUCAAACUUUUUGAGCGUGAUAUUAACUAAUCUAAAUAUUAUUCUAUGUUUAAAUCAUUGUUUUAAUGAAACCGACAAAUAGAUUGUUAAUUUUUUAUUAGAUUAAUCUUAGUUUUAUUUUUAUAGGUUUUUAUAUUUGUUUUUCUUGUAACGCAACAUUUAAGAAGGGAUUUAUGUAUGAAAAAACAUGUUGUAAAGAAAAACAUUGUAAAGGUUGUAUAGCGGAAGGAAACAGUAAGAAUUGCAAAAAAAAAUGUAAAAUUUCAGAUAUUAAAUAUAAUAAAAUUCCUGUAAUAAAUGAAUAAAGCCAAAUAACUCAAUAAACGUAAAGAGUAAAAUUUUGCGAAGUUUUUGAAAAUUUAAAAUUAAUUAUUGAAUAUGUUAUAUAAACUAUUAAUUUUAUUGUUCAGUAUAAAUAAAUAUAUAUUUAUCAAUAAUUUUCAUCAGAAUAAAUAAGUAUAGAUGAUUUUUCUAAAACAUUAUUUUAUA